rnacentral:rRNA from 1 species
UACGUAGGGGGCGAGCGUUGUCCGGAUUCAUUGGGCGUAAAGCGCUUUAAGGCGGUUCGGUAAGUCGGGUGUGAAACCUCCAGGCUCAACCUGGAGACGCCACUCGAUACUGCUGUGACUAGAGUUCGGUAGGGGAUCACGGAAUUCCUGGUGUAGCGGUGAAAUGCGUAGAUAUCAGGAGGAACACCGGUGGCGAAGGCGGUGAUCUGGGCCGACACUGACGCUGUAGAGCGAAAGCGUGGGGAGCGAACAGG